AUCGGGCUCAGGAUUAAAUAAAUCACCACAAUAUUUUAAAAAUACAUAUUCAUUGUUGUUAUAUGUACCUGUACCUUACCGAAAUUGGACGUCUUAUUUAUCCGUCAGACUUUAGAGGUUUGUAACAACUCAUAACUCAUAUUUGUGAGUUUCAUUAAGAAAUAUAUACUCUCACAACAGAUUUCGUAGUUACAGGCUAGAGAAUUUUUUGAAAAGUAGUUUCAUUUUCGAUUUAAAAAUACUUGGAAUCCAUAGCAUCAUAGGAUAGGCUUUAGAUUAUACAGUUGAUCUUCACUAAAAUGUGUAGACAAAUAUAUUUAUAAAAGUUACAGAAAACACGUGUGUUUGUUUUGAAUUAAGUGGGCGUGAUCAUACAUGUAUAUCGAUUGGCUGUUUAAGGAUGUUUACAGGUGAAUAGGGUGAUUUAAUCCUUGCUACGCAUAACUUGUACACGUAUAAGUAGAAUUUGUUUUUUUAUUAUUCGAAGUUCGAUGCUACUUUGCAACAGACUUUCCCCAUCCACCCCUCCCAAAUCAUAACAUAAAAUUUUUGUCAGUUUUGUUUUUACAUGAUUUUGUCUUCUUUAAUAGAAUGAAAAUGCUUCUACAUGAAAGUAAAGUGACUUGAGAGCCAUGUACAUUGUACUAUAUACUUGUAUAUACAUUAUUAAAGUCUGAUGCAUUCGCACUUGCGAGCUCAUCUUAU
rnacentral:sRNA from 1 species